UGGGGAAUAUUGCACAAUGGGGGAAACCCUGAUGCAGCGACGCCGCGUGAACGAAGAAGGUAUUCGUAUCGUAAAGUUCUGUCCUAUGGGAAGAUAAUGACAGUACCAUAGAAGAAAGCUCCGGCUAAAUACGUGCCAGCAGCCGCGGUAAUACGUAUGGAGCGAGCGUUGUCCGGAAUUAUUGGGCGUAAAGGGUACGCAGGCGGUUUAAUAAGUCGAAUGUUAAAGAUCGGGGCUCAACCCCGCAAAGCAUUGGAAACUGAUAAACUUGAGUAGUGGAGAGGAAAGGGGAAUUACUAGUGUAGUGGUGAAAUACGUAGAUAUUAGGAGGAGUACCAGUAGCGAAGGCGACUUUCUGGACACAAACUGACGCUGAGGUACGAAAGCGUGGGGAGAAAACAGG
rnacentral:rRNA from 1 species